rnacentral:rRNA from 1 species
UACCAGCACCCCGAGUGGUCGGGACGUUUAUUGGGCCUAAAGCAUCCGUAGCCGGUUCUACAAGUCUUCCGUUAAAUCCAACUGCUUAACAGGUGGGCUGCGGAAGAUACUAUAGAGCUAGGAGGCGGGAGAGGCAAGCGGUACUCGAUGGGUAGGGGUAAAAUCCGUUGAUCCAUUGAAGACCACCAGUGGCGAAGGCGGCUUGCCAGAACGCGCUCGACGGUGAGGAAUGAAAGCUGGGGGAGCAAACCGG